rnacentral:tRNA from 1 species
GCACCCGUAGCUCAGUUGGAUAGAGUGACAGCCUCCGAAGCUGUAGGCCGCACGUUCGAAUCGUGCCGGGUGCACCA